rnacentral:rRNA from 1 species
ACUCCUACGGGAGGCAGCAGUGGGGAAUUUUGCGCAAUGGGCGAAAGCCUGACGCAGCAACGCCGCGUGAGUGAUGAAGGCCCUUGGGUCGUAAAGCUCUGACAGAGGGAAAGAAAUGCAGGGGAGCUAAUAUCUCCUCUGCUUGACGGUACCCUCAAAGGAAGCACCGGCUAACUCCGUGCCAGCAGCCGCGGUAAUACGGGGGGUGCAAGCGUUGUUCGGAUUUAUUGGGCGUAAAGCGCGUGUAGGCGGUUUGGUAAGUCUGAUGUGAAAGCCCUGGGCUCAACCCGGGAAGUGCAUUGGAUACUGUCAGACUUGAAUACGGGAGAGGGCAGUGGAAUUCCUAGUGUAGGAGUGAAAUCCGUAGAUAUUAGGAGGAACACCGGUGGCGAAGGCGGCUGCCUGGACCGAUAUUGACGCUGAGACGCGAAAGCGUGGGUAGCAAACAGGAUUAGAUACCCUGGUAGUCCACGCCGUAAACGAUGAGAACUAGGUGUCGCGGGUA